UACGUAGGGACCAAGCGUUGUUCGGAUUUACUGGGCGUAAAGGGCGCGUAGGCGGCUUAACAAGUCACUUGUGAAAUCUCCGGGCUUAACUCGGAACGGCCAAGUGAAACUGUCAAGCUAGAGUGCAGAAGGGGCAAUCGGAAUUCUUGGUGUAGCGGUGAAAUGCGUAGAUAUCUGGAGGAACACCGGUGGCGAAGGCGGCAUCCUGGACCGAGACUGACACUGAGGAGCGAAAGCCAGGGGAGCAAACGGG
rnacentral:rRNA from 1 species